GGCCGGAGCGAUGGGCGGCAUCGCGCGAGGACCUGGUGGCGCUGCCAAGGCCCACUCGCCGCUGCACGCGUGUGGCUUUUGCUAGUGCGCGGUGGCUCCGCAUCUCCGGCAACGGCUUGCUUUCCCGCUCCGGCUUGGUUGCGGGCCCUCAUCCCCGAGUGGGAUGGGAGGGAUCAAGGCAACAGGGCAGGGUGGGAGGAUGUGAGUGCACGCAGUAGGGCCCAGCGACAACAUAGCAUGGUGUGGCCGAGAUGAGUGCUUCACGCUCAAGGGUGGUCGCGGCGGCUCCAUGCGACGGCGACAUCUCCAGCAUGCCUCAGGGAGGAAGUUGGCUUGAAGUUGUGGGCUCCGGCUGCCGGCGGCGAGGAAGAAUGGGAGGUGCUUACAAUGACUCAAAUUUAAUUUCACUUUCUUUCAGGGAUGUCUUUGUAAGUUAUGGGCUGAAGUAAUCACCAAAAUAUGAAUGAAAUAUAAAUCCGGUUUCUAAAAA